GCAGACGCCGUGGUCUAAUCGUCCUAGCGCUCGGCGUGACUGCGUCCCCGAUCUCUGCGGCCAUCCGCGUUUGGCCAUCACGCACUCCUCCGCGCCGUGUGUCCCCAGCGACCCUCGGUCCGAUUGCCCUCCGCGUCCGGCUGCCAUGCGCUUCUCUGCGCGGGGCGCCGCGAGCGACUCUCCGUCCGACUGCCGCCCCGCGGCCCUCCACGUCCGACCGCCACGUGCUCCUCCGUGUCGGGCGCCGCGAGCGACUCUCCGCCCCGCAGCCCUCCACGGCCGCCACGCGCUCCUCCGCGCUGGGCGCCGCGAGCGACCCCUCCACUCCACGCCUUCCCACACAAGCCGCCGCCGGCCCUUCAUGCCACGACAGGCAACGCGCUCAUGCCGCUAUACAGGACUGCGGCUAUUUAUGUUCAGAUCACAUGUUUUUUCUUUGAUCCGCUUCAUUCGGUUGUACAGGUUGAUGUGGUGACGGGUGAGAUGUAUGUCCAUGCGCUAUUCCACAGCCGCGUACUGAUAACCCAGGCCUUUAGAGAUUAACUGAGUGCCAUAUGUAUCGGCAACAACACAACAACCAUGCAGAAUCAUUGUUGUCAGAGAAGUCGAUGAGCAUAUUUGCUUUCUCUGUUUUCAGAUAGUUUCCGAGCCCUCCUUCUCCAAGAUAAACUGAUAAAUAAAUCAUGUGCUGGCAGUGGUAUGAUAUUCAGGUUCGUACAUGUAUAUUUUCUAGGUUACUCUUAGCUUUCACACACCUAUAAAUUAUCUUGAUUUGUGUAUGCUUUGAUUACACAAUAGUGUAGUUAACAGAACUGAGUCAUAUUGAGCGGUUAGUUGAGUACCUAUAUCUAUAUGUGUGACAGCUCACAGCCAGGCAAGUUAUGUUCUGUCGUCGAAUAGAUAUUCAUAUGACUGAUUUGUGAACUUUAGCAUUUUGCAUUUAAUUGUGUCAUUUUUAAUGGUUAGUUAGGCUGAAUUGGCGAAUGAGUUGAUGACUGGGUUCAUGUGAUAAAUAAGCAUUUUUAAAGCUUGUGCUAUCACUUAUUUGAAUUCAUGAUUGCAGGAGUGUCUCAUGGCUUAAUAGUCGUUCAGGCAUGUGCAGUUUUUAAGAGUGAAGUCAGGAGAAUAACUUCUUCUGGGUUGAGGUUUCAACAGAUUGAUUCAUUGGAGGGAUGCUGGUACAGUGGCCAUAUCUAUGGUAAGACGUAUGGGGUAAAAUUAGAAGUAGAUACCUUUUUGGUCUGCUGAAAUUUUACCCGUCUAAAGAAACUUGGUACGACAUACUAAGAUGAAAUAUUGUAUUCUUCAAUUUGAGACAUUUAAUAGUGAACUGAGAGGCUCUAGCAUGGACUACAAACUAAUCUCAGCUAUAUUUGGAUGCAGUGCAAGGAAUUCUUCUUCUUGCAGUUGCAGGACCAUGAGAUGUCGACGCUACACUGUCGACACACCAAUGUCCCAGCCAAGUCAGUGAUGCAGCCCCAACUCCUGAUUUCUUCAAGUUGAGGAAGCUGCGGCAGCCUGACUCCAUUCUGCCUAUUGCCGCCCUAUCCAAUCUGCUGCUAGGCAACUACUACUCCCGUUGGAUAGAUGAACCCUCUGACUAUCUACUUUAUGUUAUUCCCUUUGUGUUAUCCAAUUGCUCUUGAUAAUUUAAUGAUUCAAUCAAAUUUCACUGCAAAUCAUACUGGAUCAGGCUUUUCUUCUUUCCAAUUUCACCGGCAGACGCGCAGCAGCGCCGGCGAGCGCCUCGGGUGGCGGCGGGGAGCGGAGGGGUGGAGUAAGGGGUUGCGGCGGGACAAGGGUUUGGUCGCUCUCGUGUUGCCCGUGAGGGGCGACGCGAGAGCUGAGUUGUGGAAGCCGAUGUGAGGGGAUUUGCAAUUCUUUCAACGCAGUGUUAGUUUGCGUUAAGUUGGAAAAUCCAAAUCCAUACAUUUACAAUUCUUCUUGUUAUAAUUAUAUUAUAUAUUUUCAUUAACUAAUGUUUACAGAAUACCAUCUGAGUAACCGCCUGAUAUAGCAGUUAGUUUUAACAUUAGAUGCAACAACUUUGACAUUGAUGAUUUGAUCAUGUUUUUAUUAGGACAAUAAACUUGUCUAGAAUUCAUUAUGAAUUGAAGGCUCUGGAAAUAGAUGCAUCUGCUCCCUAAAUUAUUCUCAGUGUGAUUUCUGAAUCAUACAUGCUGACAUGCAUUGGCAAUCAUUAUUCAACGGAUUGCCUUUUCACUGAAAUAAGAACCGCAUGAUGCUUACAAUUUAAUCUGGUCAUCUAGAUAACUGAAUGGGUUAAUUUUAUGCUUAGUAUCUUCUGGCAAAUGUAAAGUGGGGAAGAAAACCAAUCUCUUUUGAUACGGACUUCUGGAGGCAACAUUCCUUGAUUGUAUGCACUUAACAUUUUCUUUUGGCUUCCUGCUAUCGCGUUUUAAGUUGUCUGCUAAUACUUUUAAGUCUCUCUUGUGCUCAAUUUCAGAUGCUAUCUUGUGUACGAUUGAGCAGUCUCGACUAUACUUCGACCCAGACAUCAACGAAGCAAAUAACUUGAUUGUAAAGUAAAUUCAUGAUUAUCAAUGCCUAGCUUUUGAUCUUGACUAAUACGAAGGGUGCAAUGUGUAGGUUCAGAGAGCUCCGACGCUUUAUCCGACCAAAGACUUUCAAGCUAUAUUUUCUUUCAAGAUUUUGAGCAUCCCUGCACACGGAACAAUAUUGGAGAGAUAGAGUGCCACUGUUACAUUUCUCAAUAUCCAAGCUUUUAUUUCAUUGUUCUGAUAAUUGUUAUAUUUUGUUGGUGCACCAUUAUAGUUUGUUUAUUUUA